UACAGAGGGUGCGAGCGUUAAUCGGAAUUACUGGGCGUAAAGCGCACGUAGGCGGCUAUGUAAGUCAGGUGUGAAAUCCCCGGGCUCAACCUGGGAACUGCAUUUGAGACUGCAUGGCUAGAGUAUGGGAGAGGAAGGCGGAAUUCCCGGUGUAGCGGUGAAAUGCGUAGAUAUCGGGAGGAACAUCAGUGGCGAAGGCGGCCUUCUGGCCCAAUACUGACGCUCAGGUGCGAAAGCGUGGGGAGCAAACAGG
rnacentral:rRNA from 1 species